CAUAUAUUAUAAUAACAGACACAAAAAAACUAAGAAAUGUUUGCACUCUUAUAGCCAUCGUUUGUGGAUAACUGGAAAGUGUCACAUGAAACUUCAUACAGGCUGUAGCUACAGUGUUCCUAGCUGGAUCAACAAAUCAAAAACUUCUCUUUGCAAGAUGUUAUUGCUCAAAACCAUCCUCCAUGUUGCAUCCUGGAAUUCUCAUCUGGUUGUUGAUCUGGAUCUUCUUCUUCCUCCUCAUUCUUUUCUUCCUCCUCUUCUUCGUCCUCUUCAGGAGGGUCUUCUGGCAGCGGAGUUGGCAGUGGAG
rnacentral:lncRNA from 1 species